ACACUACUGAGGAGUCCUACAACAGAACGAAACAUUUGUCUAGUAC
rnacentral:hammerhead_ribozyme from 1 species